AACGAACGCUGGCGGCAGGCUUAACACAUGCAAGUCGAGCGCCCCGCAAGGGGAGCGGCAGACGGGUGAGUAAGGCGUGGGAAUCUACCCAUCUCUACGGAAUAACGCAUGGAAACGUGUGCUAAUACCGUAUACGUCCUUCGGGAGAAAGAUUUAUCGGGGAUGGAUGAGCCCUCGUUGGAUUAGCUAGUUGGUGGGGUAAAGGCCUACCAAGGCGACGAUCCAUAGCUGGUCUGAGAGGAUGAUCAGCCACACUGGGACUGAGACACGGCCCAGACUCCUACGGGAGGCAGCAGUGGGGAAUAUUGGACAAUGGGCGCAAGCCUGAUCCAGCCAUGCCGCGUGAGUGAUGAAGGCCCUAGGGUUGUAAAGCUCUUUCACCGGUGAUGAUAAUGACGGUAACCGGAGAAGAAGCCCCGGCUAACUUCGUGCCAGCAGCCGCAGUAACAC
rnacentral:rRNA from 1 species